GCACCCGCGGUAAUUCCAGCUCCAAUAGCGUAUAUUAAAGUUGUUGCAGUUAAAAAGCUCGUAGUUGGAUUUCUGCGAGUGUGCCAAUGUCCGCCGACGCGCGUGCGCAGCGGCGCCCUCGCAUCCUUCUGUUACCACCUCUCGGCAUUCACUUGCCGGUGGUCGGCUCAGAGAAUUUACCUUGAGAAAAUUAGAGUGUUUCAGGCAGGCUAGGCCGGAAUACAUUAGCAUGGAAUAAUGGAAUAGGACUACGGUCUCGUUGUUGGUUUGAGGGACUGCAGUAAUGAUUAAUAGGGAUAGUUGGGGGCAUUAGUACUCAAUUGUCAGAGGUGAAAUUCUCAGAUUUGUUAAAGACUAACUUAUGCGAAAGCAUUUGCCAAGGAUGUUUUCAUCAAUCAAGAACGAAAGU
rnacentral:rRNA from 1 species